rnacentral:misc_RNA from 1 species
AGUCGUAACAAGGUCUCCGUAGGUGAACCUGCGGAGGGAUCAUUUACCAAAAAUCCUUUCCUCCCGAAAGGGGGGAUUCCAUUUCGGAACAACUCGCCUUAAAUCGGAGCGGUGGCGGUCUUCGAGCUUUUGUCGGUUUUUUGGAAUCGGCGGAAGCGGCAACACAAUGCCACGUUUUUUCACACUUUUCGAUUUAAUCGGAAUCGGGCGGUGGGUAACUCCCCGUCUUUGAAAAAACAAAACAACCGUUACUGAUGGAUGACUCGGCUCC